rnacentral:rRNA from 1 species
ACGCGGCGGCGGCUUACGACUUAACAAGUGAAGGGUAAGCUGGACUUCGUGUACAGUGGAAACUGGCGCAGGUACGCGUGGAAUCUACCUAGUGGUUCAGAAUAACCGCGGGAAACUGCGGCUAAUACUGAAUACGCCCUCCGGGGGAAAGAUUUAUCGCCAUUAGAUGAGCCCGCGUCGGAUUAGCUUGUUGGUGAGGUAACGGCUCACCAAUGCGACGAUCCGUAGCUGGUCUGAGAGGAUGAUCAGCCACACUGGGACUGAGACACGGCCCAGACUCCUACGGGAGGCAGCAGUGGGGAAUUUGGACAUGGGGCAGCCUGAUCCAGCCUGCCGGUGAUAUGAAG